AUCUCUCUACACACCGCUCGCGUGCGUGCGUGAGCUCCCUCUCUGCGAAGCUCCCUCACCUCUGCAUUCGCCACCUCCCCAGCCACCACACGGAGGAACUAACCAAGCGGCGAGAAACGAGACGCCACUGCCCGCACGAGCACACUCGCCCACACCCGUCUUUCUCCCCGCCAGACGUUGCGCCCGCAUUGCUUAAGCGCUGAGGGUGAUCUCAUCCUCGACUCUUGUAGUUUGCUGCUGUCGCUGGUCACUCGUGCUCAUCCCAUCGCACGCACAGCCCAUCGGAUACGCUUCCUCUACGUGUUCUCGCUUCCGUGUUUCUAUCUUAUCAAUCAGCGUCCUUCUCUUGCGCACCCCCAUCUUCCCUCCCCCCAUCCCCACAUUCUCUUCGCCGCCGCUUCCAUGCCUCGCGGUCAUGUUGGCCUGUCCUCCAUCGAGGCGCGCCAGCGGCGCGAGAGCUUCAUGGAGAAGUUCAACGCGGAGCAGACGGCGCAGGAGCGCCAGAAGCGGACGGUCGAGUGGGAGCUGCGCGGCAACGAGCGACACGAGCAGAAGGACUUGCUGCAGUACAUGGACGUGAUACAGGCACAACACAACGAUGUCCUCGUCGCGCGUCGCCGUCGCUUAGCAGAACUGCUCACGCGUGAGAACGAGCUGCACACUUCCAUGAUGACGAGCCUGCCAGAAACCGACGCACAGCGCCGCGAGCGGCUCAUCCGAAAGGCCCAGGAGCUCCGUGCCAAGCGUGAGGAGGCGAAGCGGCUGGACAACUGCGCCCGCCACGACCGCCUGUUCUGCGCAAAGAUUGACUGCCUGCGCCAGGCGGAGAGCCGACUCAAGGUGAUGCAGGUGGCGGAUGCUCGGUAUGAACAGAUGGACGCCGCCGCGGAGCGUCGUCGUCAGGAAGCUGCUGAGGAUGUCUUAUACGCUCAGCAGGCUACAGAGGCGCAGCGUUUGGCGACGGAGCGAGAGCAGCGCAACCUGGAAAUGCAGUACAACCGCAAAAAGCGCAUGGUCGCCGACCUCGCAGCGCAGGUGGAGGGCAACCGGCAGCGAAAGGAGAUGGAAAAGGAGAACGCGCGUCGCGACACCGAAGAGUUCUACCGGUUACUGCACGAGGAGCAGGCAGAGGAGGCCCGCAAGCGCCUGCAGCGGCGGGAGAAGAACCGCCAGCUGGCACAGGAGAUGAUGGAAAUGAACGAAGAGCUGAAGCGCGCUCGUCAGCAGGAGUACGAGCAGCUAAAGAAGGAAGACAAGGAGGCGCUGGACGCUAUCCUUGCUUCCCUCGCGGCGGAGCAACAGGAGCAGCGGGCUGAAAAGCAGCGGCGCAUGGCGGCGGAACGGCAGCAUAUGUUAGACCUCCAGAAGAUGGCUCAGUGCAAGGACGACAAGCACGCGUUAGACAAGCUAUGGGCGGAAGAGAAUGAGAAGCAGUGGCGAAAGCGUGAGGUGCAGUGGGAAGCCGACCAGGCCAAGCGCGACACGCUGCUGCGCAACAUUCUCAUCGCGCGCCGACAGCAGAUUCUGGACAAGCGUCAGAAGGCUAAGGAAGACGCGAUGCUGCGCAAGUUGGAGGACGAAAAGUUUCUCGAGUCCUUGUCGAAGGAGCGCGACAUCGAUGCUGUAGAGCGAGAGCGGCGCAUGGCGCUCUUGAAGGAAACUCAGCAGUACCUUGAGUGGCAGAUUCAGCAGCGCAUAGCAGAGAAGGAGGCAGCACGGCUGGCCAAGCGCACUGAGCUGACGGAUGAGCAGGCUUUGGAGAAGCAGUACGAGGACCGGAUUGCGCGGGAGAUGGCAAACCUAGAAGCGGCAAAGCCGUCGCGUUACCGCGAUGUGCCGCUGCUGCCGAAAAAACACCGAAAUCAACUCUUUUAGAGGCGCGUUAGCGCCACGACGAUGCAGCUCACGCAGAGUAUGUUACAUGUGCUUGCUUGUGCUGGUGUGCCAACGAGAGGGCGGAUACGCAGAGGAGUGAGGGCGUGAGAGAAGGAAUGCGACGGCGAUAAGCAGGUGCGAGGGGGAGGUGCGGGGCGCGAAAGGCAGAGAUUUGACCUGCUGCGAGGUGAGAGAGGUCCAGCUUUCUGUCUCUCCCCCCGCAUGGCUUCCUCGCUUUCUUGGCAGCCGCAACAUUCCUCUGCUGUCUCUCCCGCCGAGUCUGCCCAGAAGCCUGCUCAGCGCCUACCCUACUCGUUUCCUUUGCGCUCACCACUCUUUGGUUCGUUCCCCUCUUCUUGCUCAGCAUAGUCGGCCACGCGUGCACAGGCACGCCCCACCGUGCACUCCCUCCGACUGAUUCUAGUUUCUCCUCUUGUGUGUCCUCGUGCUGGUAUUUUGUUUCUCUUCGAUGCGCAAUUGUCUUGCUCAUGCACGGCAGCGACUCCAGAUACGACGGCGCACAUGAGGCCGCAGCCGGCUAUACUGUUGUAUUUGUAUCUGUGAAGGACUGGAUGAGUGGUGGCAGUGAUGGUAAUACGAGGGGACGCUGUCUUCGUGAUACGGUGGAGAGUAGCCAUGCAAGGCAACUGGGACAACGAUCACGUGCACACACACGCGUCCUUGAUUGAACUCUGCGUCGCGCGCCGCCUACACUUUAGACGGCCUCUUUUCUUUUUGUUUUGUUUCGUUGUUGUCUGUCGUCUUGACAGCCGCGCGUGCGUGCUCGCAGCUGCCAGACGAUGAUGUAUAGCACCGAGGUACUCGGUGGAGAGACGGCGAGGAAGCGGAAGAGGACGACGUGGCCGGUUCGACUCUCGCACGUGUCUUGCUGACUUGUUUUCAUCGUUUUACGUAUUGUGGUUGUGGUUUGAUCGACUGUGCGUGGUGCGGGCGCGCAGCAGCAGCGCCUGUGACGGUUCGGACGGUGAUGUGCACCCUGCGGCGUCGGUGGCGGGCCGUGCUUGACAGCGGCAACAAUGCUGCUGAGUAUGUAGACUACUUCUUUCCUUGCCUUUGUUCAAUCCCUUGCCCUCUGCAUCCGUGCAGCACGCGCACGCGUGUGCGCUGCUGCAAGAUGAGGGCUGCUGAACUGACGUGAACGUUGUGUGCAGGAGGUGCUCCAAAUCGAUCACACUGAGACCCCCGAUCCUCCUCCGACGCAACUCCCUCACCCACGGGAAGGCGCAGCCCAGCAGUGCCGGCGUUUCCACGAG
rnacentral:misc_RNA from 1 species